CGCGUAGGCGGCUUAGUAAGUCAAAUGUGAAAGCCCCGGGCUUAACCUGGGAAUUGCAUUCGAUACUGCUGAGCUAGAGUAUGGUAGAGGGAAGUGGAAUUUCCGGUGUAGCGGUGAAAUGCGUAGAUAUCGGAAGGAACACCAGUGGCGAAGGCGACUUCCUGGGCCAAUACUGACGCUGAGGUGCGAAAGCGUGGGGAGCAAACA
rnacentral:rRNA from 1 species